UAUCUCUGUAGAGUCUGCAUAUCAAUAAGCGGAGGAAAAGAAACUAACUAGGAUUCCCUCAGUAACGGCGAGUGAAGCGGGAAGAGCUCAAAUUUGAAAUCUUCAAGGUUCUACCUUGACGAAUUGUAGUUUAAAGAAGUGUUUUCUGUUGGAGUUUUGGUAAAAGUUCUUUGGAAUAGGACAUCAUAGAGGGUGAGAAUCCCGUAUUUGACCAUUAUUUCCAGCUUCGUGAUACACUUUCAAAGAGUCGGAUUGUUUGGGAAUGCAGUCCAAAAUGGGUGGUAAAUUUCAUCUAAAGCUAAAUACUGGCGAGAGACCGAUAGCGAACAAGUACCGUGAGGGAAAGAUGAAAAGAACUUUGAAAAGAGAGUUAAACAGUACGUGAAAUUGUCAAAAGGGAAGCGUUUGACACCAGUGUUGUUUUCUCGAAAAUCAAUUAAGAAAGGUUGACUUUGUGUUGUUAUGACCUUAUCAGCUUACUGUACUCUUUUCGAGUCUUUUUUAAUGCACUUUUCUGUUAACAAGUCAACAUCAAUUUCUUUUGUUGUAAAAGAGUCAUUGGAAGGUGGCUUUACUUUCGGAUGAAAGUGUUUAUAGCCUUUGGCUUCUGCAAUCGGAGAGAUUGAGGUCUGCAGCGUAGAUCCUUCGGGGCUAGAUACAUUAGAUGCUAAGUUAUAGCUUUUUAUAGACAACUUGUUGACUAUGAUUAAGUCAUGUAGCUUACUCGCUUAUGCCUAUUUUACCUACGCUUAGGAUGUUGACGAGACUGUCGAUCUC
rnacentral:rRNA from 1 species